rnacentral:rRNA from 1 species
CGGACGGGUGAGUAACGCGUGAGUAACCUGCCUUUCAGAGGGGGAUAACGUUCUGAAAAGAAACGCUAAUACCGCAUGAGACUACAGAGCUGCAUGGCUCAGUGGUCAAAGGAGCAAUCCGCUGAAAGAUGGACUCGCGUCCGAUUAGAUAGUAGGCGGGGUAACGGCCCACCUAGUCGACGAUCGGUAGCCGGACUGAGAGGUUGAACGGCCACAUUGGGACUGAGACACGGCCCAGACUCCUACGGGAGGCAGCAUG